GACCUUACCUACUCUUGACAUCCAGAGAACUUUCCAGAGAUGGAUUGGUGCCUUCGGGAACUCUGAGACAGGUGCUGCAUGGCUGUCGUCAGCUCGUGUUGUGAAAUGUUGGGUUAAGUCCCGCAACGAGCGCAACCCUUAUCCUUUGUUGCCAGCGGUUCGGCCGGGAACUCAAAGGAGACUGCCAGUGAUAAACUGGAGGAAGGUGGGGAUGACGUCAAGUCAUCAUGGCCCUUACGAGUAGGGCUACACACGUGCUACAAUGGCAUAUACAAAGAGAAGCGACCUCGCGAGAGCAAGCGGACCUCAUAAAGUUUGUCGUAGUCCGGAUUGGAGUCUGCAACUCGACUCCAUGAAGUCGGAAUCGCUAGUAAUCGU
rnacentral:rRNA from 1 species